rnacentral:rRNA from 1 species
GGGUAUAGCCAGAUCCCAGCUAAGGCCCCAAAUAACUGCUAAGUGAUAAAGGAUGUGUUGAUACUUUGACAACCAGGAGGUUAGCUUAGAAGCAGCUAUCCUUUAAAAAGUGCGUAAUAGCUUACUGGUCAAGUGCCUUCGCGCCAAUAAUGUAUGGGACUAAGUAGUUUGCCGAAGCUGUGAGUUAAAAUCGGUAGGAGAGCGUUCUGAUUGGGUUGAAGUAAUAAUGAAAAUAAUUAUGGACUUUUCAGAAGUGAGAAUGUCGGCUUAAGUAACGAAAACAUUGGUGAAAAUCCAAUGCUCCGAAAACCUAAGGUUUCCUUUGGAAGGUUCGUCCACGAAGGGUUAGUCAGAUUCUAAAAAAAGGCCCAAAGGCAUAUUUGAUGAACAACAGGUUAAUAUUCCUGUACUACAUUUGAAUUUGACUAAGAGAGACAAAGAAGGCUAGGUUAGCCAAAGAUUGGUAGUUUUGGUUUAAAAUUUCAAGACUUUGAGAAACAUUACAAAAAAUGUUUUGAGUUAAGAAACGAAUACGAAAAUACUACGGUAUUGAAGUAACUGAUGUCAUACUUUCAAGAAAAUCUAUUGCAGUCGGUGGUUCAAUGUAUCUGUACCGUAAACUGACACAGGUGGGUAAGUAGAGUAUACUAAGGAGCGCGAGAUAACCCUUUUUAAGGAACUCGGCAAAAUAGCCUUGUAACUUCGGGAGAAAAGGUGCCUUAAUAAAUUAAGGUUGCAGUGAUCAGAUCCAGGCGACUGUUUACCAAAAACACAGGUCUCUGCUAAGUUGAAAAACGAUGUAUAGGGGCUGACGCCUGCCCAGUGCUGGAAGGUUAAUAAAGCUGGUUAGCAAUAGCGAAGCUAGUAAUUUAAGCCCCAGUGAACGGCAGCCGUAAAUAUAACGGUUCUAAGGUAGCGAAAUUCCUUGUCGGGUAAGUUCCGACCUGCACGAAAGGCGUAACGAUCUGGAAACUGUCUCAAAAAGGGACUCGGUGAAAUAGAACUAACUGUGAAGAUGCGGUUAACUUGCACUUGGACAGAAAGACCCUAUAAAGCUUUAAUGUAAUUUAACAUUGUUUUCGGACUUUUUUUGCGCAGCAUAGGUGGGAGGCGUUGAUUCUUUCUUUCGGGAAAAGAUGAGCCAUUAGUGAGAUACCACUCUGAGAAAGUUAGAAAUCUAAUGAUGUUUCUUAUAUCAGAACAUUUGACAGUGUUAGACGGGCAUUUUUACUGGGGCGGUAGCCUCCUAAAAGGUAACGGAGGCGCACAAAGGUUUUCUCAGACUGGACGGAAAUUUGUUUUAGAGUGUAAAGGCAAAAGAAAGCUUAACUGUUAGACUAACAAGUCAAGCAGAGACGAAAGUCGGUCUUAUUGAUCCGACGAUACUGAAUGUAAAGGUCGUCGCUUAACGGAUAAAAGUUACUUUAGGGAUAACAGGCUGAUCUCCUCCAAGAGUUCACAUCGACGAGGAGGUUUGGCACCUCGAUGUCGGCUCAUCGCAACCUGGAGCGGUAGUACGUUCCAAGGGUCGGGCUGUUCGCCCGUUAAAGCGGUACGUGAGCUGGGUUCAGAACGUCGUGAGACAGUUCGGUCCAUAUCCGGUGCGAGCGUUAGAGUAUUGAAAGGAGCUUUUUCUAGUACGAGAGGACCGAAAAAGACACACCUCUGGUGUACCAGUUCUCAUGCCAAUGGGACAUGCUGGGUAGUCAAGUGUGGAGUGGAUAACUGC